UUAACAGUAUAACUCAACCAGCUAGAAGCCUCCACAGCGUUUUGGGUCGUUCUGGGCCGUUUCAGCGCGACAUUGCUGCACCCUAGCUGACCAGCCCACGUUACAGGGCUGCUACUCCAGUGACUGAUCUGGAUGCCUUAUCGUGAACCGGGCCUAAUGUGGUUAAUUGAGCUCUACUAAAGCCCAUGUAACGAUCUACCACCCGCCUCAGCUAGCGAGGCCAGGAGCCGCACCGCCUCCCAUCCUCCCCGACCCUUCCUUCUCUAUUCUCUCACAUCUGAGCCCUACCCUCCCAUCCCUGCACCACAACCCCUCCCGAUCACGGCCUACAUUGAAGUUGUGGUGAGGGAGGGAGGCCAUGGAAAUGGCGAUGGUGGCUUGGGCGGUGACCGGGAACGAUUCGCCAAACACAUCUCCACGAAGUCGUGCCUCUUCCAUUUCAGACUCCGCCUACAGAUCUCAGCCGAUCAAAAAAGAUCACCCCUAUGGUGACGGCCGACGCCAUUUCCUACGAUGAUGUCCCCUUGAUCUUCGUCCUGCUGGGUGUCCGCUCCGGUGAAACCAUCAGGAGGCCGAUGUCAGGCAUGGAGGCCGCGUUCCACGCUGUCAGGCGGAUCAACAUGGCAAGCCGUCAGUAAGACAUGUGAUCCUCUUCAAUUGCAUCUUUCGCACAUGUUCCUCUAAUUUGGCAUUUGCAAUUCUUAUCUUCCUCUGUUGACGCUGCUGCUCCCACCCUCUGAGAUUAGGUGAGUAUUAAUUUUCUCUCCCUCUCCCUUCUUUGAUUACUCCUCUUUGUAACUCCAAUAAGGUUUAAUUUGUUUUGUUUAUAUAAUGUACGAUUAGACUUCGUUGUUGGGUUAAUUUCUCUAUAGUAUUUGAAAUGUGCAUUCAUUUCGUUCUAUGUGCAUGAACUGCUUAAUAAUUUGUUUGGUGCUAUUUGAUGCUGGUGGUUGUGGUUAUUGGUUGUCGUAAUUCAGCUGAACAGUAGGUUUUUUCUGUGCAGAGAAGAAGAAAAAUGAUCAAUGUGGCUUCUGACUCUAAUAGGCCAAGCAUUUUGUGUAUCCAGGUGGCUCUGAGUGCACACAGUCCAUGUGACUGUAUUCAGCCAUGGCAUGUAUGUCACAUGUAUGGAACCGGCAGUGUGUGAAUUAGUAUUCAGCCAAGUUUGGAGAACGCCACCUCUGAAACUUCCCAGAUUAGGACUUGACCCUCAAAUCCGGCAUCUGGAUUUUAAACCUGAGAAAAGCACACGAUACUGGUUAUAAACUACAUAGAUCAACUAAACGGCAUAACUUGUUGCAUAUGAAGAGAUCCUCCCAACCUUUAUGUGUGAUGACAGUUGAUAUCUCGAGCCAUGGUUGUACAGUUGUUGAAAUGGUAGCUAAUAUGCAUCCUUUGCAUCCAAAUGAAGAUUGAAGCAGGAGCCAUCAUCUCUUAUUCUUGGUCUUUCAGGUGGCAGAUAGUAAAUAUACGCCAGAAAUUCCAGCUAUUAUUUUGAAAGAAGGAAAAGAUUUCCAAAGUUUGUGCUUAAAUUUUGAUCUAGAGCAGCGUCCCUCUACAAAACAGCUAGGUCACCCUUUUGUCCAUGGCCAUCAAGUAACAAAAGUAGAAAAAUGCAGUGCAACCCUGUUAAGCAAUAGACAAUCUUCCCCUCUGGGGCAAGGUAUAAAAAGGUACAGUGAUAUACAUUUUGGUGACAAAAUUUCCCAAUCCAUCCACAUGUUCAAGCACCUUUACUGACAGUCGGCAUCUAAUGUAAUAGCUGAGAAUAAGCAUGUCUCUGCUAGCGUCCCUUGUGUUCAAGCCUGUUAUGACAGUUCAAGCAAUCAAACUGGAGUUGCCUACCUUUCUCCCCGCACAAUUGGAUUACACGCGGAAGCAGAGAUGAAAUGGCCAAAGCAUUGGCAUGUUCAGACCAUUGAGCUUGGCUCGAUGUCGACCCAUACGGCUCUCCGAGGAGAUUCUGGGACUUGAUCUGUAGUGUUCUGGGAGGAUAUUUAGCCAUCUGAGACGAAGGUAGGAAACAAGAUAUGUUUUGAUUGGCAAAAUCGUCGUAGUUAUAACCUUUCUGAUCUAUUACCUCUGUUGGCCUUUUUUGAAAGCAUAUUAUAGCUUUCUAACAAGGCUAACAGUUUGGAAUGGAGUUAAUAGAUUAGAAUAGUCGAGAUAGUGAUUAUUAGCUAUAGAGAAAAAGAACUUGGGAUAAAGAAGGUCUGAUAUCUGAUGCGUCCCCAAGUAGUUAACUUUUUUUUGGAUAUGUAAACUCUGAUCAUUUUAUCAUCAAAA